rnacentral:misc_RNA from 1 species
AAGGUGGGGCUGAUGACUGGGGUGAAGUCGUAACAAGGUAUCCGUACCGGAAGGUGCGGAUGGAUCACCUCCUAACAGGGAGACAACACAAUGAUUUUGAUGCCUGAGUGUUUUUAUUCUUAGGCCGAAAUCCUGUCACCUUAGGUCGAUCGGUACCUCAGCUUUGAAGUUAAGGAUCAGCAGCAAUGUUGAUUGCUUGAUGGAGAUUUUCAGUUCCUAAACUUUGUCUAGGUCACACCCCAAAAGGGAUGAGACUCCUGGGCCAUUAGCUCAGGUGGUUAGAGCGCACCCCUGAUAAGGGUGAGGUCCCUGGUUCAAGUCCAGGAUGGCCCAUUCGGUGUUGGGGGUUUAGCUCAGUUGGUAGAGCGCCUGCUUUGCAAGCAGGAUGUCAGGAGUUCGAGUCUCCUAACCUCCACUGACCGAACUUGAUUCCCAUCUCCAAUCCUUUUGGAGUUGAGCUCGAUUGGAGUGUGAUUUAGAUGUGUCCGCUGGAUGACCCCAGCUUCCUGUCAUUCCAAGUUUUAGGUUGAAGCCUUGAAUUUGGUUGAUAAGAUGCUGGGCUCGAAUCAAGUGAUCAAGCAAUUGAUGAUUUGAUUUGAAGUUCUAGCAGAACCUUGACAACUGCAUAGGUGAGUCUGGAAAAAACAAAGCAUCUUACAGAUGCAUUGUUUUGAAUCUGAUCUUCUGAAAGGGAGAUUUGAUCUAGAACAAUGAAAAUUCUUUUGAGCAAGAGCCGAGACUCUUGAAUGUUCUUUGAUUCGUGUCGAGCGAAUCAGAGUUUGAUCUUGUUUUUAGCAAUAAAAACUUGAGAAUCUGCUUUCAACGGCGGUAAGCGUUCAGGAGGUUAAUUGGUCAAGCUACAAAGGGCUCAC